UACGGAGGGGGCUAGCGUUGUUCGGAAUUACUGGGCGUAAAGCGCACGUAGGCGGCUUUGUAAGUUAGAGGUGAAAAGCCCGGGGCUCAACUCCGGAAUUGCCUUUAAGACUGCAUCGCUAGAAUUGUGGAGAGGGUAAAGUGGGAAUUCCGAGUGUAGAGGUGAAAUUCGUAGAUAUUCGGAAGAACACCAGUGGCGAAGGCGACUUACUGGACACAUAUUGACGCUGAGGUGCGAAAGCGUGGGGAGCGAACAGG
rnacentral:rRNA from 1 species